rnacentral:rRNA from 1 species
UACGAGAGGUGCAAGCGUUGUCCGGAUUUAUUGGGCGUAAAGCGUUUCUAAAGGCGCUUUUGUAAGUUACUCUUUAAAGACCGAAGCUCAACUUCGGAAGUGGGAGUAAUACUGCAAGAGUUGAAAUAUUUCGGGGUUACUAGAACUAUCGGUGUAGGGGUGAAAUCCGUUGAUAUCGAUAGGAACUCCAAGGGCGAAGGCAGGUAACUAGGAAUUUUUUGACGCUGAUGAACGAAAGCUAGGGGAGCGAAAGGG